UAAAUAGCUUUAACUUGGUUUUCACUGCAAGCAAGGCUUCCAGUUGAGGCUUCAUACAGGAUUUUCCAUAAUGUCUUCAAGGAUCUGCCACUUUAUGUUCCGUAUAGGAGUGAAUGAUGAUUAUUGAGGUGUACAACUACGGCAGAUACAGGUUCACAGGCUUUGAUUAAUGUCUUCAAGGCUUUGCCGCUUUUUGUUCAUGGAAUUGCCUGAGUGACUUCACAAAUACAAUCUCAUUUCAGAAACUGAAUGUUUGCAACAUGCCCGUAUUCUUGUCUUUACUGCAGAGAACAAAUAUUGAAUAUUGUUCUAAACGAAGGGAAAGAUGUGCAUAGAAAACAAAUAGAGAUUGCCUCCUGAAGCUUACUCUUCAAACUAUAGUGUCAUGGAAGUAAAGCGAAGAAUUAAACAUCCCAAUUACUGAAGGUUUAAAAUUACAAAGAUCUUAAUUAAGAGUUCACAAGUUUUGAAGAGUAUGAUGGAACUUCAUUCAAAUAGAAGCUAUAGUUGAUUGUUGACAUAAAUUUCCAACAGAAAUUUGAAAAUCAGAAACUUCAAUAUUACAAUUGCAGACUUAAUAUGAAGCAGAACCUUAUUGAGAGAUCUUUCUAAUUCAGCAACCUCUUUCAUUAACCCACCACCUAUUCUGUCUCCAACUCGAAAAGUUUAUGAUCUGCCAUUGCUCAUAAACAUUUUAGUACACGGCAAGCAGACACAUUAAAUCUUGAACCAACAUUUACAGACUCCCCCUCUUGAAAAGAUGUCUCAGUUGCUAGUCUUCUGAUAUGGAAUGAUUUGCUUGACUGAGAUGUUGCAGUAUUUUAAAAAAGUCAAAGUCUUUGAAUGUUUUUGAAUUAAUAGUUGCUUAAAAAUAGGACUUCAGUGCUUAUUUUGAUAUUAUGCCAACGUGCAGAAUGUCUUUAGCUUAUUUUUAGCAUUUUCUGGUUUGUGACUUGUGUAUAUAGCAUUUUACAUUCAACGAAAAAUAGCCCAAAUAGUCUAAUAAUAAAAUUUUCUUAUUUGUUGCUUA